rnacentral:rRNA from 1 species
AUUGAACGCUGGCGGCAGGCUUAACACAUGCAAGUCGAGCGGGGAUGAGGUGCUUGCACCUUAUCUUAGCGGCGGACGGGUUAGUAAUGCUUAGGAAUCUGCCUAUUAGUGGGGGACAACAUUCCGAAAGGAAUGCUAAUACCGCAGACGUCCUACGGGAGAAAGCAGGGGAUCUUCGGACCUUGCGCUAAUAGAUGAGCCUAAGUCGGAUUGGCUAGUUGGUGGGGUAAAGGCCUACCAAGGCGACGAUCUGUAGCGGGUCUGAGAGGAUGAUCCGCCACACUGGGACUGAGACACGGCCCAGACUCCUACGGGAGGCAGCAGUGGGGAAUAUUGGACAAUGGGGGGAACCCUGAUCCAGCCAUGCCGCGUGUGUGAAGAAGGCCUUAUGGUUGUAAAGCACUUUAAGCGAGGAGGAGGCUACUGAGACUAAUACUCUUGGAUAGUGGACGUUACUCGCAGAAUAAGCACCGGCUAACUCUGUGCCAGCCGCCGCCGUAAAAC